AAGCCACAGAACCAAGAGGAGCCCAGUCAUGGAUCCUGCCACAGGCGACCCGUGGCUCUUUUUGCUUCAUGUUUCUGGAGAGCCAGUUUGAACAGGGAGGCAACUAGAUCCUGCUCUUGCUCCCCAGGUGUGGAUCCUGAGGACACCGUCUCAUGAACAUCUUACACUAAUCUCCAACUCAGAGCCUGCUUCCGAGGGAGCUCAACCUGCAACAGCCACUGACUUAAAUCUAACUUAUUCAAUAAAUCUGCAUCUAGUUUCCAUUAUGGGCCAGACAUAUGCGGACACUGGGGACGGAUCCAUGGAUCAACCAUCUUCCUUGUGCUCUAGUCUGGCUGGAGAGCCAGACAGGUACUGAGUCCAGGAGGGCCAAUGAGGAGGACAAGAAGGCCACUGUGCCCAGUCUGUGGGACUUUGGAAAGUUGAUGUGAGGUUUAGGAAAAUCCUGCUAAUGACAUAUUAGCAGUAACUGGAAACAACUUGUCAGAUUCGCAAGGACCUGCCUCUUCUCACUCUCCCCACGGCAGGGAGUGGUGGACGUGGCCAUGCCCUGACUCCAGAUCCCCGGGAGAGAAAAGAUGGAUAUGCAAGUCUGGAGUCUAGGGCUGCAGACUGGGAAUCCCAGAUCUGUUUUCUCUGUAGAAGUGACUAUUCAUGACCCAGAGCACGCAGUGGAAAAAGACUUUUUAAAAGCUUCCAGCCCAACACUUGAGAUUUGGAUGAAGGAAUCGAAGUCCAAAGAGGAAAGCUGUAUGACCAAGGUCAUACAGCUGGGCAAAAGAUUUAAGGCUAAGAGCCAAGCUUCCGGACUCCAAAUCCCCACUGAUUUUCCUAUAACCCAAUUGCCCACUCUCGUUAUUUAAAAUUAUUUUAAUAGCACUUAUUGUCUCUUCUUUAUAUCUAAUUACAAA